rnacentral:lncRNA from 10 species
GAGCACACGACCCUGGAAGUAGCGAGCAACCGGAUUGGCGGUUUCCUUCGCAAACGUCUUGCCUUCUGGGGCCUGGCAAUUGGUCUUUCCAAGUGUCGGAAGCGACGGGGAUAUGGUCUGGAAACAUCUGGUUUUGAACAUCUGGUAUUGAAGCGCUGGGAGGCAAAACGUCUGCCCCGCGCGCCCAUGCGGCGAGUGUCGGUCCGUGCCCCUGCUCAAGGACAGCUCGGGCCACGUGCGCCCCGGUCCCCAGAAGGCCUGGCUCCGGACUGUGCUGCCCUGGGGCGUCACUGGGCAAGGAGAGCAGUGGGUCGGCGUCGAGGGGAGGGGACCUGGGCUUCGGAGCGGUUGCUCCGGGUGGGCACUGGCCGCGCAACCCCUCUCCCGCGCAGAGACGCUAGCUCCACCGUGAGCGGGAACGGCCCUUGGGCGGGUUGUAGCGUUGGCUCCAGAUUCCCUGGGUCUCGCGCACUGAGAGCCUGAGCCGCCUGAGGGAGGCAAAGCGCCCUGGAGCCGCGUCCCCUGCCUUGCAAGUUAGUUCUCCAACACGCGAAAAGGGUAGAGAGAACUGAUGCGGUGACAGAAGCAUUGGGUGAAGUUCACUUGGCACCACCCAAUUUCUAAUUCAGCCAUAUUUUUCAUAGUUCUACAAACAAACGUCCAGCUGGGUCUGGGUGCUGUAAUCCCUGCACUUUGGGAGGCCCAGGCGAGAGGCUGUAUUGAAGCCAAGAGUUUGAGACCAGCCUGGGCAAAACAGCAAGACUCCAUCUCUACAAAAGUUUAAAAAAUUAUGUAGAUAUGAUGGUGUGUGCUGCUAGUCCCAACUACUUGGGAAGCUAAGACGAGAGGAUCGCUUGAGGCCAGGAAUUUGAGACCAGCCUGGACUCCAUGUAUAGAAAUAUGUAUGUGUGUGUGUGUGUGU